UUAAAUGUAGCUUAAAUUAAAGCACUUAACUGUUAAUUAAGUAGAUACUAAAUAAGUCAUUUAAA
rnacentral:tRNA from 1 species